GCUCAGUUUGGUUUAUUGGUAAAGACACCAGGCUAGAAAGCAGGAGAACAUGAAUUCAAGUCUCAUUUUAGGCA
rnacentral:tRNA from 1 species